AUGCAUUCGUUGUCCAGAAGGUCAACCUUUCAGCUCUACUAUAUGAGAACGGAGCUCAACAAAGGCCUUCCCAUCAUUCGACACACCAUGGCGUCGCACGACCAAGAAGACGAGCUCGCCAUGAGCAGCGACGAGUUGCUCCAAGCUCAGCUCGAGCUCUACAACCACUGCUUCGCCUUCGUCAAGUCCAUGGCGCUCGCAGCUGCCACCGACCUGCGCAUCGCCGACGCCAUCCACCUCAGGGGCGGCGCUGCCACCUUGUCUGAUCUUGCGGCCGAGACAGGGAUCCACCCGACGAAGCUCUCCCACCUCCGGCGGCUCAUGCGCGUGCUCACCACCUCUGGCGUCUUCUCCGCCGACGUCAAGGCUAGCGGCGGCGACGCCGUGUUUAAGCUCACCCGGGUCUCUCGCCUCCUCGUGGGAGCUGGGGGCGAGCACUCGCGCCGCCGUGACCUGUCCCCGAUGGUGGGCGUGUUUGUCAACCCGGUCGCCGUCACCGCUCUCUUCAGCAUACGCGAGUGGUUCACCGACGAGACGAGCGCCGCCUCGUCGCUCUUCGAGGUGGCGCACGGCUGUACUCGGUGGGAGAUGAUAGCAAAGGAUGCAGGCGAUGACCGCGUGUUCAACGCCGGCAUGGCAGCGGACAGCUGCCUCAGCAUGGAAAUCCUACUAAGAGAGUGCAGCGGUGUCUUUGGGUCCGUGGGCAGCUCACUGGUCGACGUCGGUGGCGCCCAUGGCACGGCUGCCAUGGCGAUCGCCAAGGCGUUCCCACACGUCAAGUGCAGCGUACUGGACCUCCCUCUCGUCGUCGCCGGGGCUCCUGCCGUUGACAAUUUAACCUUCAUCGCCGGCGACAUGUUUGAGUACAUCCCGCCGGCAGACACCGUUCUACUCAAGUGGGUUUUGCAUGAUUGGCCGGACGAAGAUUGCAUCAAGAUACUCCGCCAGUGCAAGAAAGCCAUCCCAACAAGGGACGCCGGAGGGAAGGUGAUAAUCAUGGAUAUGGUGGUGGGAUAUGCAGUGCCGCAGCAGGAAAUCGUGUCAAAGGAGGCGGAAGUUUUGUUUGAUGUCUUCAUGAUGUACAUCGACGGGAUCCAGCGAGAGGAGCAUGAGUGGAGCAAGAUUUUCUUUGAAGCCGGGUUCAGUGACUACAAGAUUACACCGGUGACGGGAAUUCGCUCAAUUAUUGAAGUCUACCCUUAA
rnacentral:rRNA from 1 species